rnacentral:rRNA from 1 species
ACGAUGAAGCCCAGCUUGCUGGGUGGAUUAGUGGCGAACGGGUGAGUAACACGUGAGUAACCUGCCCUUAACUCUGGGAUAAGCCUGGGAAACUGGGUCUAAUACCGGAUAGGAGCGUCCACCGCAUGGUGGGUGUUGGAAAGAUUUAUCGGUUUUGGAUGGACUCGCGGCCUAUCAGCUUGUUGGUGAGGUAAUGGCUCACCAAGGCGACGACGGGUAGCCGGCCUGAGAGGGUGACCGGCCACACUGGGACUGAGACACGGCCCAGACUCCUACGGGAGGCAGCAGUGGGGAAUAUUGCACAAUGGGCGCAAGCCUGAUGCAGCGACGCCGCGUGAGGGAUGACGGCCUUCGGGUUGUAAACCUCUUUCAGUAGGGAAGAAGCGAAAGUGACGGUACCUGCAGAAGAAGCACCGGCUAACUACGUGCCAGCAGCCGCGGUAAUACGUAGGGUGCGAGCGUUAUCCGGAAUUAUUGGGCGUAAAGAGCUCGUAGGCGGUUUGUCGCGUCUGUCGUGAAAGUCCGGGGCUUAACCCCGGAUCUGCGGUGGGUACGGGCAGACUAGAGUGCAGUAGGGGAGACUGGAAUUCCUGGUGUAGCGGUGGAAUGCGCAGAUAUCAGGAGGAACCCGAUGGCGAAGGCAGGUCUCUGGGCUGUAACUGACGCUGAGGAGCGAAAGCAUGGGGAGCGAACAGGAUUAGAUACCCUGGUAGUCCAUGCCGUAAACGUUGGGCACUAGGUGUGGGGACCAUUCCACGGUUUCCGCGCCGCAGCUAACGCAUUAAGUGCCCGCCUGGGGAGUACGGCCGCAAGGCUAAAACUCAAAGGAAUUGACGGGGGCCCGCACAAGCGGCGGAGCAUGCGGAUUAAUUCGAUGCAACGCGAAGAACCUUACCAAGGCUUGACAUGUUCUCGAUCGCCGUAGAGAUACGGUUUCCCCUUUGGGGCGGGUUCACAGGUGGUGCAUGGUUGUCGUCAGCUCGUGUCGUGAGAUGUUGGGUUAAGUCCCGCAACGAGCGCAACCCUCGUUCCAUGUUGCCAGCACGUAGUGGUGGGGACUCAUGGGAGACUGCCGGGGUCAACUCGGAGGAAGGUGAGGACGACGUCAAAUCAUCAUGCCCCUUAUGUCUUGGGCUUCACGCAUGCUACAAUGGCCGGUACAAUGGGUUGCGAUACUGUGAGGUGGAGCUAAUCCCAAAAAGCCGGUCUCAGUUCGGAUUGGGGUCUGCAACUCGACCCCAUGAAGUCGGAGUCGCUAGUAAUCGCAGAUCAGCAACGCUGCGGUGAAUACGUUCCCG